rnacentral:rRNA from 1 species
CCCGAAUAAGAAGGUCCGGCUAACUUCGUGCCAGCAGCCGCGGUAAUACGAAGGGACCUAGCGUAGUUCGGAAUUACUGGGCUUAAAGAGUUCGUAGGUGGUUAAAAAAGUUGAUGGUGAAAUCCCAGAGCUUAACUCUGGAACUGCCGUCAAAACUUUUUAGCUAGAGUAUGAUAGAGGAAAGCAGAAUUUCUAGUGUAGAGGUGAAAUUCGUAGAUAUUAGAAAGAAUACCAAUUGCGAAGGCAGCUUUCUGGAUCAUUACUGACACUGAGGAACGAAAGCAUGGGUAGCGAAGAGGAUUAGAUACCCUCGUAGUCCAUGCCGUAAACGAUGUGUGUUAGACGUUGGAAAUUUAUUUUCAGUGUCGCAGUGAAAACAAUAAACACACCGCCUGGGGAGUACGACCGCAAGGUUAAAACUCAAAUGAAUUGACGGGGACCCGCACAAGUAGUGGAGCAUGUGGUUUAAUUCGAAGAUACGCGCAGAACCUUACCAACACUUGACAUGUUCGUCGCGACUCUAAGAGAUUAGAGUUUUCGGUUCGGCCGGACGAAACACAGGUGCUGCAUGGCUGUCGUCAGCUCGUGUCGUGAGAUGUUGGGUUAAGUCCCGCAACGAGCGCAACCCUUACUUUUAGUUGCCAUCAUUUAGUUGGGCACUCUGAAAGAACUGCCAGUGAUAAGCUGGAGGAAGGUGGGGAUGACGUCAAGUCCUCAUGGCCCUUACGUGUUGGGCUACACACGUGCUACAAUGGUAUCUACAACAGGAAGCAAAACAGCGAUGUUAAGCAAAUCCCGAAAAGAUACCUCAGUUCGGAUUGCACUCUGCAACUCGAGUGCAUGAAGCUGGAAUUACUAGUAAUCGUGGAUCAGCGUGCCACGGUGAAUACGUUCCCGGGUCUUGUACACACCGCCCGUCACACCAUGGGAGUUGGUUCUACCUUAAGGCAAAG